rnacentral:rRNA from 1 species
GACGAACGUUGGCGGCGUGCUUAAUACAUGCAAGUCAACUGAAGCAGUGGUAGCAAUCUCGCUGUGGAGGUGGCGCACGGGUGAGUAACACGUAGGUAAUCUGCCUUCAGGUCUGGCAUAACUCCGUGAAACCGGGGCUAAUAGCAGAUGAUGCAGCGGCGCGACAUCGAGACAGUUGUUAAAGCUAUGGCGCCUGAAGAUGAGCCUGCGUCUGAUUAGCUAGUUGGCGGGGUAACGGCCCACCAAGGCAACGAUCAGUAGCUGGUCUGAGAGGAUGAUCAGCAACACUGGAACUGAGACACGGUCCAGACUCCUACGGGAGGCAGCAGUAAGGAAUAUUGCUCAAUGGGAGAAAUCCUGAAGCAGCAACGCCGCGUGAGGGACGAAGGGCUUUUGCUUGUAAACCUCUGUAGUGAGAGAAAAAAAUCCCAAUCUUUGGGGCAUGAUGGUAUCUCAAAAGUAAGCCCCGGCUAACUACGUG